rnacentral:rRNA from 1 species
CCCUUAGAUGUUCUGGGCUGCACGCGCGCUACACUGACUGACUCAACGAGUUUACAACCUGUGCCGAAAGGUAUGGGUAAUCUUUUGAAAUUCAGUCGUGAUGGGGCUAGAUUAUUGCAACUAUUAAUCUUCAACGAGGAAUGCCUAGUAAGCGCGAAUCAUCAGUUCGCGUUGAUUACGUCCCUGCCCUUUGUACACACCGCCCGUCGCUCCUACCGAUUGAAUGGUCCGGUGAAAAUUUCGGACAGUGACGAUGCUGGCGGUCCGCCGCCGGCGCUGUCGCUGGAAGAUCUUUAAACCUUAUCAUUUAGAGGAAGGAGAAGUCGUAACA